rnacentral:tRNA from 1 species
GGAGAGGUGCUCCGAAUUGGUAAGGAACCGGUCUUGAAAACCGGCGCUCGCAAGAGCUUGUGGGUUCGAGUCCCACCCUCUCCGCCA